rnacentral:tRNA from 1 species
GGGCGUAUAGCUCAGCGGGAGAGCGCCUGACUCACAUUCAGGAGGUCACUGGUUCGAAACCAGUUACGCCCACCA